rnacentral:tRNA from 1 species
GGGCCCGUGGCCUAGUGGUUAUGGCACCGCGCUUACAACGCGGGGAUCGGCGGUUCGAUUCCGCCCGGGCCCA